UUUUUCACACAUUCAUUCACUGAUACAUGAAAUAGUUCCAAAUCUCAGCUUUACUACUUUUGAGGUACAUUACUUUGGGCAAAUUACUUAACUUCUGUGUACUUCAGGAUCCUAAUCUGUAAAAAUGGGGCUGAUGAUAGUAUUUACCUCCUAUAAGUAUAAAAGUUAUAGGUAUUGGUACAUGGUCAGUGCUGUGUACUUCACAACUACCUUAUGAGGUCAGUGGCUCUGAGAGAGUAAUUAAUUUGUCCACAAUUGCACAGCUAGUAAGUGGUGAAGCUGGGACUUGAACCCAGAUCUAGCAGCCCCCAGAGCCUCGAUUCUUACCUGCUGUACCAUCCUGCCUCACUGUUCUGUUUGCUGUGAUGGGAGUUGUGUGCAGAAAGCUGGAAGCAGUUAGCACAUCUCCUAAGGGAAUCCUUCAGGGUGUGGUUUGGAAGGCCAGACAGGGAUUCGCAGAAACCUAGACACAUCUAGAGCUGUGGCCUGUAGGUUGCCUUGGGCCACUCACUGAAUGGUUUCUUACAGUGGCCAAUGGAUUUCAUGGGACCAGAGUCCUAUGACCAGAAUCACCAUGCCCCAUGGUGCCAGGCCACAAACACAUCUCUCUGGGCCUGCAGAUUUCACCGUGACCAACGUCAUCAUCUUCUUUGCCUUUGUCCUGCUGCUCUCCGGAGUCCUCGCCUACUGCCUGGCCCUCCAGCUGUAUGUGCGGCGCCGAAAGAAGCUGCCCAGUGUCCUGCUCUUCAAGAAGCCCAGCCCCUUCAUCUUCAUCAGCCAGCGUCCCUCCCCAGAGACCCAAGACACCAUCCACCCGCUUGAUGAGGAGGCCUUCCUGAAGGUGUCCCCAGAGCUGAGGAACUCGGACCUGCACGGCAGCACGGACAGUGGCUUUGGCAGCACAAAGCCAUCCCUGCAGACUGAAGAGCCCCAGUUCCUCCUCCCUGCCCCUCCCCCCCAGGCUGACAGAACGCUGGAAAACGGGGAGCUCCCUGUGCUGGGGGACAGCUGCAGUGGUGGCAGCAGCAAUAGCACAGACAGCGGGAUCUGCCUGCAGGAGCCCAGCCUGAGCCCCAGCACAGGGCCCACCUGGGAGCAGCAGGUGGGGAGCAACAGCAGGGGCCAGGAUGACAGUGGCAUUGGCCUAGUUCAAAACUCUAAGGGCCGGGCUGGGGACACACAGCGUGGCUCAGCCUUGGGCCACCACAGUCCCCCAGAGCCUGAGGUGCCUGGGGAAGAAGACCCAGCUGCUGUGGCAUUCCUGGGCUACCUGAGGCAGACCAGAUACGCUGAAGAGAAGGCAACCAAGACAGGCUGCCUGGAGGAAGAAUCGCCCUUGACAGAUGGCCUUGGCCCCAAAUUCGGGAGAUGCCUGGAUGAUGAGGCAGGCUUGCAUCCACCAGCCCUGGCCAAGGGCUAUUUGAAACAGGAUCCUCUAGAAAUGACUCUGGCUUCCUCAGGGGCCCCAACUGGACAGUGGAACCAGC
rnacentral:sRNA from 1 species